rnacentral:rRNA from 1 species
GACGAACGCUGGCGGCGUGCCUAAUACAUGCAAGUCGAGCGGACAGAUGGGAGCUUGCUCCCUGAUGUUAGCGGCGGACGGGUGAGUAACACGUGGGUAACCUGCCUGUAAGACUGGGAUAACUCCGGGAAACCGGGGCUAAUACCGGAUGCUUGUUUGAACCGCAUGGUUCAAACAUAAAAGGUGGCUUCGGCUCCCACUUACAGAUGGACCCGCGGCGCAUUAGCUAGUUGGUGAGGUAACGGCUCACCAAGGCAACGAUGCGUAGCCGACCUGAGAGGGUGAUCGGCCACACUGGGACUGAGACACGGCCCAGACUCCUACGGGAGGCAGCAGUAGGGAAUCUUCCGCAAUGGACGAAAGUCUGACGGAGCAACGCCGCGUGAGUGAUGAAGGUUUUCGGAUCGUAAAGCUCUGUUGUUAGGGAAGAACAAGUGCCGUUCAAAUAGGGCGGCACCUUGACGGUACCUAGCCAGAAAGCCACGGCUAACUACGUGCCAGCAGCCGCGGUAAUACGAAGGUGGCAAGCGUUGUCCGGAAUUAUUGGGCGUAAAGGGCUCGCAGGCGGUUUCUUAAGUCUGAUGUGAAAGCCCCCGGCUCAACCGGGGAGGGUCAUUGGAAACUGGGGAACUUGAGUGCAGAAGAGGAGAGUGGAAUUCCACGUGUAGCGGUGAAAUGCGUAGAGAUGUGGAGGAACACCAGUGGCGAAGGCGACUCUCUGGUCUGUAACUGACGCUGAGGAGCGAAAGCGUGGGGAGCGAACAGGAUUAGAUACCCUGGUAGUCCACGCCGUAAACGUUGAGUGCUAAGUGUUAGGGGGUUUCCGCCCCUUAGUGCUGCAGCUAACGCAUUAAGCACUCCGCCUGGGGAGUACGGUCGCAAGACUGAAACUCAAAGGAAUUGACGGGGG